GAGGUCGAGGGAUCUCAAGAUGGAAUGCAGACUGUGACCUGAGAAUCUAACUGUAUUAUACAUGCAUGGAGCAACUUCACUGAAGGAGACGUGGGGGAAAGGUGCUGACCUAAGCAGUUUUGGAAAUGAACGGAGUCUGUAAGACUAACAGCAAAAGGAACUGGACACAAGCACGUUGAGAGAACCUGGAAGCAACAACGCUCCAGUGGCACACCUUGCACCCAGACCUUAAUUUCUAAUAAGAUUCUCCAACAAGAGAAACCAGUGCUUCUUGAAGAAAUGGCUGAUUCUAGAACUGAAAGCAUCGUAUACAAGAUGGGACUAGAGGAUCUUGAACUAUCGGAAACUAAGAAAGUGCUCAAGAAAAGAAAGAAAGCGGCCGGGCGUGGUGACUCACACCUGUAAUCCCACUUUGGGAGGCUGAGGUGGGCAGAUCACAAGGUCAGGAGAUCGAGACUAUCCUGGCUAACACGGUGAAACUCCGUCUCUACUAAAAAUACAAAAAAUUAGCCGGGCUUGAUGGUGGAUACCUGUAGUCUCAGCUACUCAGGAGGCUGAGGCAGGAGAAUUGCUUGAACCCAGGAGGCAGAGGUUGCAGUGAGCCCAGAUCAUGCCAUUGGACUCCAGCCUGGGCAACAGAGUGAGACACCAUCUCAAAAAAAAAAAAAAAAGAAAAAAAGAAAAGUAAAGAAAGAAAACUCAAUGAUGGGAGGAUGUCCAAAGGACAAAGGAGCCAACUGAACUGAAGGAGCUC
rnacentral:lncRNA from 1 species